CCAGUUAGCUCAGUUGGUAGAGCAGAGGACUGAAAAUCCUCGUGUCUGGGGUUCGAAUCCCUAA
rnacentral:tRNA from 1 species